UAUAUUUUUUUUUUUUUUUUUUUAAAAAAAAAAAAAAAAAAUUUUU
rnacentral:misc_RNA from 1 species